rnacentral:rRNA from 1 species
AUUGAACGCUGGCGGCAGGCCUAACACAUGCAAGUCGAACGGUAGCACAGAGAGCUUGCUCUCGGGUGACGAGUGGCGGACGGGUGAGUAAUGUCUGGGAAACUGCCCGAUGGAGGGGGAUAACUACUGGAAACGGUAGCUAAUACCGCAUAACGUCGCAAGACCAAAGUGGGGGACCUUCGGGCCUCACACCAUCGGAUGUGCCCAGAUGGGAUUAGCUAGUAGGUGGGGUAAUGGCUCAACUAGGCGACGAUCCCUAGCUGGUCUGAGAGGAUGACCAGCCACCCUGGAACUGAGACACGGUCCAGACUCCUACGGGAGGCAGCAGUGGGGAAUAUUGCACAAUGGGCGCAAGCCUGAUGCAGCCAUGCCGCGUGUAUGAAGAAGGCCUUCGGGUUGUAAAGUACUUUCAGCGGGGAGGAAGGCGGUGAAGUUAAUAGCUUCACCGAUUGACGUUACCCGCAGAAGAAGCACCGGCUAACUCCGUGCCAGCCGCCGCAGUAA